rnacentral:rRNA from 1 species
UACGUAGGUGGCAAGCGUUGUCCGGAAUUACUGGGCGUAAAGCGCGCGCAGGCUGUUUGGUCAGCAGCGGGUGAAAUCACAGGGCUCAACUCUGUGGCUGCUCGCUGAACUGCCAGACUAGGGUUCGGGAGAGGGCAGUGGAAUUCCUGGUGUAGCGGUGGAAUGCGUAAAUAUCAGGAGGAACACCCGUGGCGAAAGCUGCUGCCUGGAACGAUACCGACGCUGAGGCGCGAAAGCUAGGGGAGCGAACGGGAUUAGAUACCCCGGUAGUCCUAGCCGUAAACGAUGGACACUAGGUGUUGGGAGCAUCGACCCUCCCAGUGCUGUUCUGCUAACGCGUUAAGUGUCCCGCCUGGGGAGUACGGCCGCAAGGUUGAA